rnacentral:lncRNA from 1 species
UUUUUUUCUUUUUUUGUCUUUUUUUUAGGGCCGCACCCAUGGCAUAUGGAGGUUCCCAGGCUAGGGGUUGCAUUGGAGCCUUAGCAACCAGCCUACGCCACAGCCACAGCCACAGCAACACCUUGUCUGUGGCCUACACCAAAGCUUGGGGCAACGCCAGAUCCUUAACCCACUGAGCAGGGCCAGGGAUCCAACCUGCGUCCUCACGGACACUAGUCAGGUUUGUUACCGCUGAGCCACAAUGGGAACUCCAGUAUUCUGCUUUUUGAUCUUGAUGCUGGUUACAGGGUCCCGCUGUCUUUGUGAAAACUCAUCAAGCACUUAUGACCUGUAUGCUUUUCUGCAUGUAUGUUUUACUUAAACCAGAUGUUUAACGUUAAAAUAAAAUGUCCAGGACAGUGCCUGCCAAUACUGAGGGCGCAGCAAUGUGAGUUCUUUACUUCUCUCUCUCCUCUUCACCUCCCUGUGGAUAUCUGGAUGCCCUCGCUCUGGGCACUGGACAUCCAGUGAUGUUCCAGGGUCUGAGGUCAGGGAGUUGCUGGGUCAUUAUGGGAUGCCCAGAGUCGGAGACCUGGAGGGUCUGGGAGACUUCCUGCCUAAGGCAAGGCCAAGAGAAAACCAGUCCUUCGCUGCAGCUGCUCAGGGGGUUCAGAGGGACCUGCGCCCUCCCUGCUUCUGCAGGUGUCACAGCCGGCUGCCAUACAGUGGGCAGAGUUCAUAGCCAGGAGACCGAGGUUCCGAUUUAGGCUCUGCUGGAAACGCGCUCUGCCCCUGGGCAAGUCAUUUAGAACACUCCACUUGCCCAUCACAAAGUUCUUAAUGACCUAACUAGGCAGGAGUGCACUGUAAGCUACAAGUGUGAUGUAAACACGGAGCCUUAUGAAUAUUAAUGAGGUGUGAAAGCACAGAGAAAAGACCCAGCACAGCUAGACAGGGCACAGUCCUGGGGAGAACAUACCGUUAUUUGCUCUCCCUUGUCUCGGAGUUUCGUGCUCCCUCCAUUCACUUGGCUCUGCUUUAAAAAAAACCACUUGGGCUUAAAUUUUGGUGGGUUAUGUGAUGGUUUCUGCAAUAUCCUAAUAGACAAGGUGGCUGCCUGCCGCUUCAAGAUGUGGGCUUUCUGGAAGCCCGCUUGUGAGUACUGCUUCCUAGAAUUCCCCGGGUCUAAAAGCAGCACCAGCUGGUUGGUUUCAUCAACAGUGAAGGCCCUUGCCUUUGUGAGCAGUCAGCUUUCAUAUGGGAGGGAUCCCAGAAGACGUGGAUGGCUUUUUUUGUUGUUGCCAAAUCCCUUCCACGACACCCCGACAAGCUCUUGUCCUGCCUCUGAAAAUCUGCAGUGACAGUGAACUUGCUAAUUUCCACAUACUGCCUUCCACGGAGAGAUCUUGAAAAGAGAUCCUGGCUUCAUCACCGGGGUGAGACUCAUAAAUAAGAGGCUGCACCAUGAUGUUCAGAGGAAGAGGCGCUGGGAGGAAAGGGUUUGAUAAGCGCAGAAGAUGCUGCUCAGCCCCUGAUGGAAAAGGAUGUCUGUGGACCACACUGCAGAGCCGGGUCCCUCUCGGCCUCCCUGCCACGUGGAGCCAAGAUGCCCUGCCUAGAAGGCAACAUGCUGAGGAUGCCUGACCUAGGAUAGGAGUGAGACAAGGCUCGGCAGAGAUAAGCUCUUGUUUCCAUCACAUCCACGGCAGGAAGAAGGCUGGGCUGCAGGGCAGUAAUCCUGCCCAGUGCAGCUGCUUUCAAAUCUCCCGUCCCAGGACCCUUUGACACUGUGAAAGACUAUUGAAGCCCUUGAAGAGCUUUCCUGGGUUUUAUCCAUGAAUAUUAAAAAUUAAAACUAAAAAUGUUCUUAAAUAUUUAUUCAGUAAUUUAUUUAAAAGUGUCAGGUUGCCUGGAUCUGAAUCCCAUUUCUACCACCUAAAAAUUGUUCAGUGUUAGCUGUUAAACUCUUAUUGCAGCAGGUACUCAAUAUAGGCUUGAUUGAUUUUAUUUCUAAAGCCUGAGAUCUGGGACCUCCCACCAUAGGAUGCAAAUCUGUGCCUCAGUUUCAAUGAUGAGCUCUAUAGGUUGAUAUCACUGCCAUAGAAAUAUACGCUAUUGUUGCUUCAGUCUUGCAAAUGGGAUCAGAAUGGUACAGAUCCUGAUAACAGAAUGGGCCUUUUCUAUCGAGAUAUUGACUUUUUGGCCAGAGGACAAAUUCUCCCUGUUGCUGAGAGACGUUGGCCAGCUUUUUAACCUCUCUGAGUUUCAUUGUGCCUGUUCUGUAAAAUGAGAUUAUUAAUAAUGCCUGCCUCAUAAGUUUGCUGUGAGAAUUUACUAAGAUAAGGCACUUGGCCCCUCCCCUGGCGCAUAGUCCGCACUCCAUAAAUGUUACCUAUUAGUAAUUUUAACCAAUAGCAGGGCUGAGUCACUUUCCUGGGGCUUAAGCUUCUAGAAAUGCCACAAAUGUAUUUGCUAUUGACACAAAAAUGACUCUCUGGACAAACCAACUUGUGGGAUUUUAGGUCAGAAUUAUUGAAUUAUACGUCUAGUACUUUCUUUAGGUUCUGAGAUCACCCGAGGCAAAAAACACAACAAGUCAGGGUUUGCAGACCCAUUUGGGGUGUGUCUGCUCCUUGGAAAAUGGCUACAUCUGCAGGUCCAUUAGGUCCCCACAGGCUCUGUCACACACCUGCAGCCCCAUCUCAUCUGCCAACAGGAGGGUUGUGAUUGGAUCUAUCUGGCUGUCCUCUAAAGUGUGGAAGGCCCUGGAGCCCCAGCAAGCCCAACCCAAGGGGCCCUUCUAGCGGGGGCUAGUCAUGGUUUCUGGAGCUGAGGCUAAUGGAAUUCACAGCAAAGACAGAAAAUUCCAUUUUCAGCAAUGCUCCAGAUCACUUCCACUUUUUCCCCUUCAUGAUUUUAUGAUCUAAAUUCUUCCCAAUAGCUACUGCACUUGUGUGUGUGUGUGUGUGUGUGUGUGUGUGUGUGUGUGUGUGUGUGUGGUGUGUCCUGAGAAUCAUUUACAGAUAGUCCCCCAAAUUAAAAGACACAUUUCUUCUGGUUCUGAGAAUUCAUUUUUUUUAUCACAGCCCUGUGACCCUCUAUUGUGCAACUGGCCAUUAUCGGCUGUGUGGUCAAGUCACUGUUAUUGAUUGAACCCCACCUGUUUGCCAAACAUUGUGAAUAGAUAUAAGGGUGAAAGGGAGGCCCACUUCUGGGCUGGACCAAGGAGCCCUGCCUCCAGUGACAUGGAGACCUCUGUGCCAACAAACGACAGCAGAUCAGAGGGCAGGCAGGGUGGGGGAGGGCACCUGGCCCAGCUGCAGGAGGAGGAGGAUGGAGUGGUGACCAGGCUGCAUCCUCCAGGUUGACAAGGACCGUGUCCCCUCUGCUUCGCUCUCCCCUCCUCCCCUCUCUCAUGGCUGGCUCCACGCAUCAAUCACUUUUUGUUUCAGAUGUCACCUCUGCAGGAAGGAAGGUGCUCCUGUGCAUUCAAUUUGCCACUGUCCCCUGGGCAUGUUUUGUUUUGUGUACUGAUUCUUUUGGGCGAUGCCCGUGGCAUGCGGAAGUUCCUAGCAUGGAUCCUUUAAACAGUGGGUUUAUGUGAUUACUUGGACAUCGUGUUUUUCCAGCCCAGCAGACACCCACUGAGCAUUUAUUUACUGAAUGACCAGCAGAGCCUCUAAGUGAAAAUGAAUGAACAACCUGUUCAUAGAUGUUAAAUGAUAUCAUUAGUCAGCAUCAUGUGGAUAAUUUGGGAAAAUUUUAAAAUAGUUAAUAUGAUAGAUGUAAUUACUGUCUUCAACAUAUCAGAAUUUUUUCAUGAGAAGAUGAGUAGGAGGCUUCUAGGAUUACAGGAUAAGGUGGACUAAAAUUAGCAUGAAAGAAACUUUGUAGCAAGGCUCUAUCAGUUAGGAACAUACAUUUGUAUAAAGACUUUAGUUGUAAAGACUUUGGGGAAAGGUGACCAUUCGUUUUGAUGGUUUAAUCCCUUCACAGGCCUGAAUGCAGGAAGCUCAACCAGAUGUGGGAGAUUUAAUAUUAUAGGGUAGCCAGCCAGCCAUGCCCCAGAGACUAUUUCCAGGAUCUUCAUUCACAUAUAGCUAUGUGCAUAUAUUACAUUUCUAUAUGUAUAUAUGCCUAUAUACAUAUGUUAUAUAUUUUCAUAUUCAUACACACAUACGUAGGAAUGGUUAAAAAUAGGGAGAGAUGGUUUAGCCAAUCCAGUUUGAGCUGCACAGGUACUUCUGAUAAGUUAACUAUCUCCUCUGUCCUGGUUUUGAGGCACAUUUGCAAUGAUGCACUCUGGAACCUUCUUGGCGCUAUUAAAUAGUGAUUUCAUUAGCUGGCAAAAGUGCCAUGGACAUUGGAACCAUUAUUGUGGAUGGGGGCCCUAUUUUCAUAUUUCUGGGGAUGUGUCCAUCCAGGAAAUAUAUUGAGCACCUGGCCCAAGGUGAGGAAGCAGGCGUGCAGAGGGCUUGGACUAAUGAUGGAAACCGACAUACCUAACAGGCUACUGAACAAAGCAGUGGUGCUGAAGUGGAGUUAGGGGAGCCGUGGAAGGGGCUGUCGAUUGGGGCUCAAGAAGGCUUUCUGGAGAUGGUUCCAUCAGCUAGGAUUUGAAGGCAGAGCAGGGGCUUGCUGGAUAUAGAGUAGGAAGGGGUGGGGUUCAGGGAGCGAGGAUGGCCUUGCCAGGCAGAAGGUAGGAGAGAAAAAAAACGCCUACAGAACUGAAGAUGCACGGAUGUGGGCUGAAGCUGGAUGAGGCUGCAGAAGCAGGCAGAACCCCAUCAGCAGGGACCUCGGGCUUGAAUCCAGGGAGGUUGAACCCUGUUCUGAAAGUUAAGGGGUUUCUUGGAUGGAUUGCCACAGACCUGCCUCUUCGAAAGAAGCCUUUGGCAGCUGUGAAGAUGCAUCAAGAUGGGAGGAGGCCCCAGCUUUUAGCAAUAGCUCCAAGGAGUGGAGACCAAGCAGGAGAGAUAGAGAUGGGAGGGAGCAAAAAGAGAAAGGCCUCAGGCUGUGGGAGACUCAUAGGAUGUGACGAGGAGGUGAGAACCACUGUGUGCCAGGCCCCGAUCUAGGCUCCAGGGCUCCAUG